rnacentral:misc_RNA from 1 species
ACAACCAAAAUUCUUAUUCAUUCUUCACAAAGUUAUACCCAACACAAGCUCCUGGGUUUACGAGUAGCGACAGAUAAAUAUAUAGUUUUGGUUGUCAGCUGACAAACAUACAUUACAUACAUUAUAUCAUAAGAAACAUAAGCCAAAAAAUAAAAUGCAAAAAUACAGAAUUCUUUCAGAAUUGGUAGAAAGGAAGAACAAGGGUUCAAAACUAUGCAAAACUGAUAAUGUACACAUUUCACAUGGCACAAUACAUGUAAUUUGUCCCGCUCAUGUAUGUAUUUUUCAAAUUGAAUUAGAUGCUAAUAUUUCUUUUCCCUAACUCUUCACUAUAUACGUAAACAAAUUACUGGACUCAUUUCCUAAAGGACAAAAAAAUUGUUGCAAGAAGCAUGCAUCUUGCUCAUGUUAAUUGAGUCUGGCCUUCUUCUCAGCCGCCUUCUCACAGAUGAAAAUUGCCCAUCUGAUGGAAAGCUUGUGAUCGGCCACAUAAGAACAAAGAGAAAUCCGUAAGUUCUUAUUUUGAUGUAGAAAAAGAAUUCCACAGUAUGGCCACUGGCUGAUGCUGUGAUGCGACAGGGGAAAGCCACAUCACUCAGUUUUCAAUCAGCUGCUCUUCUCCCGGCAAAAGCUACAACUACUUUAUCCCUGAUGACAAAUUCUAUCUUGGAGGAAAACCGGUUUGACGCAUCCGAAAGGGUCUCUCAUUACUAUGACGCCUACCAUCCAAUGGUGCAGCCCCAAGAAUCCCCAGUGAAUUAGGAUCCGUUAAACGGGUACCAUUACUCAUAGGUCUUUGCAAGGGGGGUUGAAGUUGGGGGUGCGUAUCAGCUUCAGCUCUUCUCCGCCGUUU